UCAACUUGAGAGUUUGAUCCUGGCUCAGAACGAACGCUGGCGGCAGGCCUAACACAUGCAAGUCGAGCGCGCCUUCGGGCGAGCGGCGGACGGGUUAGUAACGCGUGGGAACGUGCCCAGAUCUACGGAAUAGCCACUGGAAACGGUGAGUAAUACCGUAUACGCCCUUAGGGGGAAAGAUUUAUCGGAUUUGGAUCGGCCCGCGUUAGAUUAGGUAGUUGGUGGGGUAACGGCCUACCAAGCCUACGAUCUAUAGCUGGUUUUAGAGGAUGAUCAGCA
rnacentral:rRNA from 1 species